CAAAAAUGAAUAUUUAUUUGCAACUCAAGCUUCAGUUCCAUAGUGUAUGCAUGAGUAACACUGCUUGAACCAAAACCCUGUGACAUUGUGAGUUGAAAAACAUAUACUAUUGUUUUUCACAGACACUCCAAACCUAGGGUGGACACCUCAGCUUUUUGAGUAUGGCAUUUGCUUCUGGAUUUAAUUCCAUUUCAGAUGUUAAUUUAAUUGAGACUUCUUUGUGUCAAACACAGACAGCUAGGAAGUGAGAAGAAAAUUACAUGGGGCAAGAAAGGGUAAGUACCUUUAACCCUAUAAAUAAAGAAAGGUUAUCAACCAUUUCUUAUGCUUUAU
rnacentral:lncRNA from 1 species